AAAAUGGCGACAAUCACGUUGUUCGCUGUAAGGCUUGCUGCGUCAUUAAAAAUAUUCACGUAAACAAGGGAGUUCAGCGCUGAAAAUGCAGCUAGAGGAAUGUUAGGCAGAUGUUUUGUCAUAAUUUGGCAGGCGUUUCCACUGUCCUGAGAUGGCAAACACGACGCGCUGAUGGAGUUGUUUACAAGAAGAGAUUCGCGGGGAGGGCGGGGAUGUUGUGGGCGGGGCCUGCGGAGGGAUGUGGGCGGGGCCGGACGCUCUGCCAAACGCGAGAGCGAAGUACAGAGGGAGGAGUCCGAGUCAUCAUAACAAGUCCGUCGUCACAGGGGUGGUGUGUAUGAAUAAUUAAAGCUCAAAACGACGGUAUUGAAUAUCUCGCUGUCGGAUAGGGAGUUGACAUCUAAUACAGCGUAUCCAAUGAAAAUAUGGCACGAAGUCCAGUCGUGAUAUUCUCAUUUCUACUUUGUACAAGUUGUGUUUAAUAAAAAAAACGUUUUCGUCUACUCAUUCCUGUAACGCACGCAGAUGGAAAUGCGAAGUUUUUUUAGCCUGUGCUGUAUAUUGAUUGUUAUAUCUUCGAAUGCAGUGAGCAUCGCACUCCGACGUUUAAAGCAUGCCAGAGUGAACACGGACAAGAAGAUGUGUGAAGAACUACUGCCCUGACUGCUUGAUUUGACAGGCUGCCCUGGUUCAGUUAUCACAGUGCUGAUGCUGUCCAUCUUAAAGGUACAGUACUGUGAUAACUGAAGGAUGGCUGCCAUCUUGACAUCUAGCGUCAAAACAAAAAAAAUAAAUAAAAUUUUUUACAGGUGAAAAAGAUGCAAAUAAAUAAGAAUCGAGAAAACAAGCAAAACAAAAAUAAAUGCAGAGAAAUCUGUACUGAAUAAACUGUUAAACUGUUGGGUGCUUUCUAAUUGUAUAUAUGAAAGCAUGUAUAUGGUUGCUGUCAUCAGUAUAAUAUCCUCAUAGGACAAACAUUUAUUUUGGCAUUUUAGUUUUAUUGGGGGAAAUAAUAAAAUAUGUACAUAUACAUUUCACUCACGUUUUUAUUUUUUUACCUGUGAAUUAUUUAUUCGUAAUUUGCUUAUGUUUAAUUAAGAAAUUACCUGUUUAGAUGACAGACUUAUAAUCAAACUUAUAAUCAGUUUUUAUGUUUAUGUAUACAUGCUAAUGCAACAUUUGUUUUUAUAAUUUUAAUCAUGUUACAUUUAAUCAUUAAUAUGUCAAAAUUGGGCUGAUAUGGCCAAAUCCAUUGGAAUCUUAGAAAAGCUCACAAUGUCAUUUAAAAUUGUUUCUGCAAUGAAAGAAAUGACAUUUUUCAAUUCUAGAAGAUUGUACUGAAUAUCAUUAUACAUCAAAGCUUGUAUGACGUACAAAUGAUAACAGAGAUGGCAUUUAAUUAUGUUUAUAUAAUUUGUAUAAACGCCACGGACGUUUAAAAUAAAUAGUAUAAUAAGUGUAUUCGUCCAUUUUAUAAUUACAGAAUUUUACUCAUGCUGUUAGUAAAUAAGACACAGACAUUAUCCUUCUGUCCCGUGUUUUUUUUUGAACUCAUCAUGAGCAUUUUUAGACUCCGAGGUAAGACGGGUCGCUGUAAUGUUGUGAUGCAUGAAAUGCAAUAAUACGACUCUUUAAUAAAGUUUAAGGAAAAAAAAUUCUCAUCUGAA